rnacentral:lncRNA from 1 species
UUGUCUUAUGAUCAUGUCACUGAAAGUUGUUCUUAGCUAAUAAAUGAAAAUAUUUGCAUCAAACACAUUGCUAGUCAUCCUUUUCGGUAGACUUAAUUUUCUGCUGCUAUUUCUUUUCAUCCCAAACAUGCCUUCGGUUGUCAUGAUCAUUGUUUGACUAGUUAAUAUCAUGAAUGAUGAAUCAGCUUCCUAAGGCUGGAUGCAGCAAUGUGUCAUGAUGCUCUCUCAUUCUUUUGUAGGUAGCUUUCUUGUUUUAUCACCUCGGUGGUUCCUACAAUCUGAGUAUGACUACACAAUGGACUUUGAUCUUGGUGUUCAGGUACGGCCUCGUUUUUUUUUUUAAAUAAUUUUCAUUCAUUACGUCAAACGAUAUACAAGACGGGCAUGUCGACUUGAACAUUAGACGUAUCGACUGUGCAACAGUAUACUAAGUUCCUAACCACUAGAUGUGUCAACAGAGAAAAGAGUUGUGCUCUAUGGUUGGUUAUAUUUAGUGUCGUGAAAAGGAAUUUGUGUGCUAUUGAUGGAUUCCUAUUGCAUGUUCUUGGGAGAAGGAUAAUGGUCUCAUGACAUAACAGGAAAAGCACCUCAUAUAUGCCUUCAUUGUAUCAGAUUGAAGCAAGCAUGCAGAAGGCUUGAAGCAAUUUAUAUAUGCCUGUCUGCUUAUAGUAAGCAUUGUACUACAUACUACAAACUACACAUUUGUGUGUGAAUCAUAUCACACUUUGUGAAGUCAUGUUUUUGAACUCCAUAUGAUUAGCUGAGCAGUUUGCCAUUUGAAAUUAUGUACUUUUGCAAACGAAAAUGGGUUCAUAUCAUAGCAUCAAGGGUUUAUGCAG